rnacentral:rRNA from 1 species
UACGUAGGGUGCGAGCGUUAAUCGGAAUUACUGGGCGUAAAGCGUGCGCAGGCGGUUAUGUAAGACAGGUGUGAAAUCCCAGGGCUUAACCUUGGAACUGCAUUUGUGACUGCAUAGCUAGAGUACGGUAGAGGGGGAUGGAAUUCCGCGUGUAGCAGUGAAAUGCGUAGAUAUGCGGAGGAACACCGAUGGCGAAGGCAAUCCCCUGGACCUGUACUGACGCUCAUGCACGAAAGCGUGGGGGGCAAACAGG